rnacentral:rRNA from 1 species
GACGAACGCUGGCGGCGUGCUUAACACAUGCAAGUCGAACGGAAAGGCCCUGCUUUUGUGGGGUGCUCGAGUGGCGAACGGGUGAGUAACACGUGAGUAACCUGCCCUUGACUUUGGGAUAUCUUCAGGAAACUGGGGCGAAUACCGGAUAGGAGCUCCUGCUGCAUGGUGGGGGUUGGAAAGUUUCGGCGGUUGGGGAUGGACUCGCGGCUUAUCAGCUGGUUGGUGUGGCAGUGGCGUACCAAGGCUUUGACGGGUAGCCGGCCUGAGAGGGUGACCGGCCACAUUGGGACUGAGAUACGGCCCAGACGCCUACGGGAGGCAGUAGUGGAGAAUAUUGCACAAUGGGCGGAAGCCUGAUGCAGAAACGCCGCGUGCGGGAUGACGGCCUUCGGGUUGUAAACCGCUUUCGCAUGUGACGAAGCGUGAGUGACGGUAAUGGGUAAAGAAGCACCGGCUAACUACGUG